AAUGGAGAUGCAGAGAAAGAAGGAACAUUCGCUGGGUGGAGGCACCUUAAGAGAGGUUUCGUGAAUUCUUUCUUGAGGUAGAGAAGCGCUGUGGGGAGAAAGCAUGCACUCACCAGUGCGCCGAGCAGAACCUCACCUGAAUAUGUAAAACAGUGAAGAAGGAGAGUUUUGAACAGGGCUAUUGAAGCGUGAGUUAGGUGGAUCUGAGAGACUGAUGACUGGACCUUACUGGAAAUGCCGCUGGAAGCAGGGUCAGGACGGAGCCCGCAGGAAACGCGCCUGUGUGGAUGGGCUGAGUCACGAUUUUCCCGCCUGGCAUAUAUGCUCUUAUAUUUGCUCACUGGUUUAGAGUGAGUCUAUUUGUAACAACAACAACAACAAAAAUAAAACACUUCAAAUAAACAGGACUCCUUUAUUUAUGAAGGACAGCUCUUUAUUUACGAAGGACAGCUUUACUCAGAACAUCUUGAAUGAUAAAAUCCACAGGCAGUAUGAUUUCGUUUGGUAGUUAAUGCUAUUUUCUUUUACAACAAAAUAGCUUGCCGGACUUUCUGAACAGCAUGGUGUAAGAGGUAAGAGGCAUUUUGUCUCUGCCUCUCGUCAUAAUGAUCACGGGGCACAUGGCUGUAGGAAGGGCCAUGCCCUGAAGACACAGGCAAAGUGCCUGUAAAUAAACCCUGAGUGGGCAACAUGAAUGGCCGCAGACCAGACAAAAUGAGAAUCCAGUUAAACAAGUGCAUGAAAUAUGCCCCUUAGUCCACUCAGCCUGCAACACAAAAGCACAGAACAGGCAGCUUCUAAACCACAGACAUUGACUUCCGUUCUGGAGGCCGGAAGUCCAAGAUGGAGGGUCCCGCAGAUUCCGUGUCUGAUUGUUGCAGCAGAUCCAACUGAAGGAUACACCAACCAUUUUAAUCGGACACAAAAGAACAGGCUGUCCUCACCUGACCACCACCCACAACAACCGAACUUUAAUCAGACACAAAAGAACAGGCUGUCACCUGACCACCACCCACAACAACCGAAGGGCAGGGUGAGUCCAUUUAGAGUCUCGAGAAUUUCAGACGUGCAUUCACUUUAAAGAGUCUUGCUGUGUCACCAGGCUGAUCUCGGCUCACCACAACCUCCGCCGCCCAAGUUCAAGUAAUUCUCCAGCCUCAGCCUCCCCAGUAGCUGGGACUACAGGCAUGUGCCACCAUGUCCAGCUAAUUUUUGUAUUUUUAGUAGAGACAGGGUUUCACCACGUUGGCCAGGAUGGUCUCGAUCUCUUGACCUUGUGAUCCACCUACCCCAGCCUCCCAAAGUGCUGGGAUUACAGGCGUGAGCCACCGUGCCUGGCCCUGGUUUCCUUUUUCUUAGCAAUCUUUUCUUCAAUAUACUUUUUCCAACUCUCACAUUUUACUAUGAGCAGCAAGAAGAAACCAGGCUCUUCCUUCAACAUUUUCCUUAGAGAUCUCCUCAGCUAAAUAUCCAAGUUUGUCCCCUACAGGUUAUACUUUCGACACAACAAGACACAAUUGCACCAACUUCUCUACCAUGUUGUGGCAAAGAUCAUCUCCUGCGUUUUCCAAUAGCAUGUUCCUAUUUCCGUCUGAGCCCUCCCCAGAAUCACCUUUAACAUCCAUAUGUCUACCAACUGUAUCUUCAGAACAAUUGAGUCUUCUUCUGACAUAAAUGUUAAAACUCUCUCUGCCUCUAACCGUUACCCAGUUCCAAAGCCACCCCGGCAUUGUCAGGUAUUGGUCACAGCACUUCCUUUCUCAGAACCAAAAUCUCUCUUAGCCUGCUCAGGCUUCCAGAGCACAGGAACACACACCAGGGGACUUAAAGCCAAAGAAACCCACUGUCGUAGAGUUGUGAGGUCUAGAAGUCCAAAAUCAGAGUGUUGUCAGGGCCAACCUACACCUCGUGCUGUAAAGGGGGCCCUCCCUUGCCUCUUCCUCCUCCUGGUCACCCCAGGCAUUACUCACCCUGUUGACGGGUCCUAAUCUCUGCCUCUGACUUCACGUGGAUUCUUCCUGUGUGUGCAUCUGUCUCCAAAUGUCCCCAUUUCAUAAGGGCACUUCUUUAGGCAUUUCAUUAAGGCUCACCCUAGUGAUUUCACUUUGAAUUGUUUGCUUAAGAUCACAUUUUGAGGUAGUGGGGGUUAGGCUUUCUACAUAUCUGUUUUAGAUAAAAAUUCCAAAUUCAGACAAAAUUCAACCUAUGACAAAGUCAUGCUAUUGCUAUUACAUACUCGACCUAUAACGAAGUUACACUAUUAACUCACUACUACAUACUCAGUAUAACAAACUCACUCUAAUACUCACUACUACAUACUCAGUAUAACAAAGUCAUGGUAAUACUCACUACUACAUACUUGGUAUAACAAAGUCACGCUAAUACUAACUACUACAUACUCGGUACAAAGUCAUGCUAAUACUCACUACUACAUACUUGACCUAUGACAAAGUCACACUAUUACCACUGCCCAACCAACCUAUAACGCAGUCACACUAUUACUCACUGCUACACACUCGACCUAUAAGAAAGUCAUGGUAUUACCGCUGCAUAUCCGACCUACGACAAAGUCACCCUAUUACUCACUGCUGCAUACUCAAUCCCAGAUUUACAAUCGGAAGCCUCUGCUGGUGAAAAUAUGGAAGUCAAUACUGAAUGUCCCUUUCUUUGCCAUAAAACUGCCAUCACACAGAAGAGAGAACUUACCAAGCAAUACCAACACAUUCAUUCUCCAAUAAAAUUAUUAAUUUCUUCAUUUUGUA
rnacentral:lncRNA from 1 species